rnacentral:snRNA from 1 species
GCGGGUGCACCGCCGACCG